rnacentral:rRNA from 1 species
ACGAGUGGCGGACGGGUGAGUAAUGUCUGGGAAACUGCCUGAUGGAGGGGGAUAACUACUGGAAACGGUAGCUAAUACCGCAUAACGUCGCAAGACCAAAGAGGGGGACCUUCGGGCCUCUUGCCAUCGGAUGUGCCCAGAUGGGAUUAGCUAGUAGGUGGGGUAACGGCCCACCUAGGCGACGAUCCCUAGCCGGUCUGAGAGGAUGACCAGCCACACUGGAACUGAGACACGGUCCAGACUCCUACGGGAGGCAGCAUG